CUACGUGCCAGCAGCCGCGGUAAUACGGAAGGUCCGGGCGUUAUCCGGAAUUAUUGGGUUUAAAGGGAGCGCAGGCGGGAGUAUAAGUCAGCUGUUAAAUAUCAGAGCCCAACUCUGUUAUGCAGUUGAAACUAUAUUUCUUGAGUACGCACAGGGAUGGCGGAAUUCAGGGUGUAGCGGUGAAAUGCUUAGAUAUCCUGAAGAACUCCGAUCGCGAAGGCAGCCAUCCGGAGCGUAACUGACGCUGAGGCUCGAAGGUGCGGGUAUCGAACAGGAUUAGAUACCCUGGUAGUCCGCACGGUAAACGAUGAAUACUCGCAGUUCGGCCGUUUAGGUCGAGUUGUCCAGCGAAAGCGUUAAGUAUUCCACCUGGGGAGUACGCCGGCAACGGUGAAACUCAAAGGAAUUGACGGGGGCCCGCMCAAGCGGAGGAACAUGUGGUUUAAUUCGAUGAUACGCGAGGAACCUUACCCGGGCUUGAAC
rnacentral:rRNA from 1 species